CCAAGCAAAUACAGGGCCAGUAUCGCAUAUACCGAUACGCUAUUGAUACUUUUAAUAAUUAAUGUGGAUGCAUCAUCAAAUUGCUAAAUCUGAAUGAAUUUGCAUGACCUAUACGUGGUUUGGGGAUUUUUCCUUUGGAUUAUUAAUAAGUUCAUAUCUAGG